GACGAACGCUGGCGGCGUGCUUAACACAUGCAAGUCGAACGGAAAGGCCCCUUUGGGGGUACUCGAGUGGCGAACGGGUGAGUAACACGUGAGUAACCUGCCCUUGACUUCGGGAUAACUUCAGGAAACUGGGGCUAAUACCGGAUAGGAAUCCUUGCUGCAUGGUGGGGGUUGGAAAGCUUCGGCGGUUUUGGAUGGACUCGCGGCUUAUCAGCUUGUUGGUGGGGUAGUGGCUUACCAAGGCUUUGACGGGUAGCCGGCCUGAGAGGGCGACCGGCCACAUUGGGACUGAGAUACGGCCCAGACUCCUACGGGAGGCAGCAGUGGGGAAUAUUGCACAAUGGGCGGAAGCCUGGUGCAGCAACGCCGCGUGCGGGAUGACGGCCUUCGGGUUGUAAACCGCUUUCAGCAGGGGCGAAGCUUUUGUGACGGUACCUGCAGAAGAAGCACCGGCUAACUACGUG
rnacentral:rRNA from 1 species